AGGAUGUUAGUUUAAUGGAAAACCCUGGUAUUAUAGCUACUAAAAUAUAAGUUCGAGUCUUAUACAUCUUG
rnacentral:tRNA from 1 species